GGGGAUGUUGGGGACAUUUGGGGUGUUGGGGGUGUUUGGGAUAUUCGGGUGUUUGGGGUGUUGGGGACAUUGGGACCCCAACGACUACGUGCGCGCCAUGCGCGAGAUGAACGGUGCGUUUUUUGGGGGGGUUUGGGGACAUUUGGGGACAUUUGGGGACAUUCGGGGACACCUGGGGUGUUUGGGGACAUUGGGAACGUUUGGGGUGUUUGGGGAUAUUUGGAGACGUUGGAGACACCAAGGAGAUUUGGGGAUAGUUGGGGACAUUUGGGGAGAUUUGGGGACAUUUGGGAUCUUGGGGACAUUUGGGGACAUUUGGGGACAUGGGGACAGCAGGGCCCCCAGUCCCUCCCAGUGCCUCCCAGUCCCCUCCCAAUCCACUCCCAGUCCCCUCCCA
rnacentral:lncRNA from 1 species